AUUGAACGCUGGCGGCAGGCCUAACACAUGCAAGUCGAGCGGAUGAAGGGAGCUUGCUCCUGGAUUCAGCGGCGGACGGGUGAGUAAUGCCUAGGAAUCUGCCUGGUAGUGGGGGAUAACGUCCGGAAACGGGCGCUAAUACCGCAUACGUCCUGAGGGAGAAAGUGGGGGAUCUUCGGACCUCACGCUAUCAGAUGAGCCUAGGUCGGAUUAGCUAGUUGGUGGGGUAAAGGCCUACCAAGGCGACGAUCCGUAACUGGUCUGCGAGGAUGAUCAGUCACACUGGAACUGAGACACGGUCCAGACUCCUACGGGAGGCAGCAGUGGGGAAUAUUGGACAAUGGGCGAAAGCCUGAUCCAGCCAUGCCGCGUGUGUGAAGAAGGUCUUCGGAUUGUAAAGCACUUUAAGUUGGUAGGAAGGGCAGUAAGUUAAUACCUUGCUGUUUUGACGUUACCAACAGAAUAAGCACCGGCUAACUACGUG
rnacentral:rRNA from 1 species